GCUUCUCUACGGAAGUCUGUGAAGAUGAUAGUAGAGUGUUUGUUUUGUUUGUGUGUGAUGCAUUCUUGUCUGGUGUGAUAGGAAUGCAUCUUUUUUUAU
rfam:Bacteroides sp. CAG:754 genomic scaffold, scf146